UACGAAGGGGGCUAGCGUUGUUCGGAAUCACUGGGCGUAAAGGGCGCGUAGGCGGCCUGGCAAGUCGGGGGUGAAAGCCUGUGGCUCAACCACAGAAUGGCCUUCGAUACUGUCGGGCUUGAGACCGGAAGAGGUCAGUGGAACUGCGAGUGUAGAGGUGAAAUUCGUAGAUAUUCGGAAGAACACCAGUGGCGAAGGCGACUCACUGGACACAUAUUGACGCUGAGGUGCGAAAGCGUGGGGAGCAAACAGG
rnacentral:rRNA from 1 species